AUACGGAGGAUGCAAGCGUUAUCCGGAUUUAUUGGGUUUAAAGGGUGCGUAGGCGGUUUGCUAAGCGGGAGGUGAAAUGCCGGCGCUCAACGUCGGAAGUGCCUCCCGAACUGGUGGACUUGAAUGACUCUGCCGUGGGCGGAAUGUGUAGUGGAGCGGUGAAAUGCUUAGAGAUUACACAGAACACCGAUUGCGAAGGCAUCUCACGAAGGGUUGAUUGACGCUGAGGCACGAAAGCGUGGGGAUCAAACAGGAUUAGAUACCCUGGUAGUCCACGCAGUAAACGAUGAUGGCUAACCGCUGGGCUUAUCAGUUCAGUGGCCAAGCGAAAGCGAUAAGCCAUCCACCUGGGGAGUACGACCGCAAGGUUGAAACUCAAAUGAAUUGACGGGG
rnacentral:rRNA from 1 species